UACGGAGGGUGCAAGCGUUAUCCGGAUUCACUGGGUUUAAAGGGUGCGUAGGUGGGCAGGUAAGUCAGUGGUGAAAUCUCCGAGCUUAACUCGGAAACUGCCGUUGAUACUAUUUGUCUUGAAUAUUGUGGAGGUAAGCGGAAUAUGUCAUGUAGCGGUGAAAUGCUUAGAUAUGACAUAGAACACCAAUUGCGAAGGCAGCUUACUACACAACUAUUGACGCUGAGGCACGAAAGCGUGGGGAGCGAACGGG
rnacentral:rRNA from 1 species